rnacentral:rRNA from 1 species
UGCGCUCUUGGAGCGGCCGAUGUCUGAUUAGCUAGUUGGUGAGGUAAUGGCUUACCAAGGCGACGAUCAGUAGCUGGUCUGAGAGGACGACCAGCCACACUGGGACUGAGACACGGCCCAGACUCCUACGGGAGGCAGCAGUGGGGAAUUUUGGACAAUGGGGGAAACCCUGAUCCAGCCAUGCCGCGUGAGUGAAGAAGGCCUUCGGGUUGUAAAGCUCUUUCAGCCGGAACGAAACGGUCACGGCUAAUACCCGUGACUACUGACGGUACCGGAAGAAGAAGCACCGGCUAACUACGUGCCAGCAGCCGCGGUAAUACGUAGGGUGCAAGCGUUAAUCGGAAUUACUGGGCGUAAAGCGUGCGCAGGCGGUUUUGUAAGUCAGAUGUGAAAGCCCCGGGCUUAACCUGGGAACUGCGUUUGAAACUACAAGGCUAGA